UACGGAGGGUGCAAGCGUUAUCCGGAUUCACUGGGUUUAAAGGGUGCGUAGGAGGGCAGGUAAGUCAGUGGUGAAAUCUCCGAGCUUAACUCGGAAACUGCCGUUGAUACUAUCUGCCUUGAAUAUUGUGGAGGUGAGCGGAAUAUGUCAUGUAGCGGUGAAAUGCUUAGAUAUGACAUAGAACACCAAUUGCGAAGGCAGCUCGCUACACAUAUAUUGACUCUGAGGCACGAAAGCGUGGGGAUCAAACAGG
rnacentral:rRNA from 1 species